rnacentral:rRNA from 1 species
UUAAGUAAUGAAGGGCGCACGGUGGAUGCCUUGGCACCAAGAGCCGAUGAAGGACGGAACCAACACCGAUAUGCUCUGGGGAGCUGUAAGUAAGCGUUGAACCAGAGAUUUCCGAAUGGGGGAACCCCGCACAUUAGUGCGACUGUCCGGUGAAUACAUAGCCGGACAGAGGUAGACCCGGGGAACUGAAACAUCUUAGUACCCGGAGGAAGAGAAAGAAAAAUCGAUUCCCUGAGUAGCGGCGAGCGAAACGGGAAGAGCCCAAACCAGUCUUUGACUGGGGUUGUAGGACACCGAUGAGACCAAACAUCGCGAGCAGAACGGUCUGGAAAGGCCGGCCAUAGGGGGUAACAGUCCCGUAUGCGAAGCGAUGGGCGGUUGCGGUGGAUCCUGAGUACGGCGGAACACGAGGAAUUCCGUCGGAAUCUGGGAGGACCAUCUCCCAAGGCUAAAUACUCCUUGGUGACCGAUAGUGAACCAGUACCGUGAGGGAAAGGUGAAAAGCACCC